rnacentral:rRNA from 1 species
GUACGGCGGAACACGAGAAAUUCCGUCGGAAUCCGCGGGGACCAUCCCGCAAGGCUAAAUACUCCCUAGUGACCGAUAGUGAACCAGUACCGUGAGGGAAAGGUGAAAAGCACCCCGGAAGGGGAGUGAAAUAGAUCCUGAAACCGUGUGCCUACAACAAGUCAAAGCUCGUUAAUGAGUGAUGGCGUGCCUUUUGUAGAAUGAACCGGCGAGUUACGAUUGCAUGCGAGGUUAAGUCGAAGAGACGGAGCCGCAGCGAAAGCGAGUCUGAAUAGGGCGAAUGAGUAUGUAGUCGUAGACCCGAAACCAUGUGAUCUACCCAUGUCCAGGUUGAAGGUGCGGUAAAACGCACUGGAGGACCGAACCCACGUACGUUGAAAAGUGCGGGGAUGAGGUGUGGGUAGCGGAGAAAUUCCAAACGAACUUGGAGAUAGCUGGUUCUCUCCGAAAUAGCUUUAGGGCUAGCCUCGGAAUUGAGAAUGAUGGAGGUAGAGCACUGUUUGGACUAGGGGCCCAUCUCGGGUUACCGAAUUCAGAUAAACUCCGAAUGCCAUUCAUUUAUAUCCGGGAGUCAGACUGCGAGUGAUAAGAUCCGUAGUCGAAAGGGAAACAGCCCAGACCACCAGCUAAGGUCCCAAAAUAUAUGUUAAGUGGAAAAGGAUGUGGGGUUGCACAGACAACUAGGAUGUUGGCUUAGAAGCAGCCACCAUUUAAAGAGUGCGUAAUAGCUCACUAGUCGAGUGACCCUGCGCCGAAAAUGUACCGGGGCUAAACAUAUUACCGAAGCUGUGGACUACACCAUUAGGUGUAGUGGUAGGAGAGCGUUCUAAGGGCGUUGAAGGUCGAUCGUGAGGACGGCUGGAGCGCUUAGAAGUGAGAAUGCCGGUAUGAGUAGCGAAAGACAGGUGAGAAUCCUGUCCACCGUAUGACUAAGGUUUCCUGGGGAAGGCUCGUCCGCCCAGGGUUAGUCGGGACCUAAGCCGAGGCCGAUAGGCGUAGGCGAUGGACAACAGGUUGAUAUUCCU